rnacentral:rRNA from 1 species
AUUGAACGCUGGCGGCAGGCCCAACACAUGCAAGUCGAGCGGGGUUUUCGGACCUAGCGGCGGACGGGUGAGUAAUGCGUAGGAAGCUACUCGAUAGAGGGGGAUACCAGUUGGAAACGACUGUUAAUACCGCAUAAUGUCUACGGACCAAAGUGUGGGACCUUCGGGCCACAUGCUAUCGGAUGCGCCUACGUGGGAUUAGCUAGUUGGUGAGGUAAUGGCUCACCAAGGCGACGAUCUCUAGCUGGUUUGAGAGGAUGAUCAGCCACACUGGAACUGAGACACGGUCCAGACUCCUACGGGAGGCAGCAGUGGGGAAUAUUGGACAAUGGGCGAAAGCCUGAUCCAGCCAUGCCGCGUGUGUGAAGAAGGUCUUCGGA